rnacentral:tRNA from 1 species
GCCCGGAUGGUGGAAUUGGUAGACACGCAGGACUUAAAAUCCUGUGACCAUUGCGGUUGUGCGGGUUCAAGUCCCGCUCCGGGUA